CUCUCGGCAACGGAUAUCUCGGCUCACGCAUCGAUGAAGAACGUAGCAAAAUGCGAUACUUGGUGUGAAUUGCAGAAUCCCGUGAACCAUCGAGUUUUUGAACGCAAGUUGCGCCCGAAGCCUUUUGGCUGAGGGCACGUCUGCCUGGGCGUCACAY
rnacentral:rRNA from 1 species